CUGCCCAAUGAGGAAUUAAAUGGCCGCGGUACUUUGACCGUGCAAAGGUAGCAUAAUCAUUAGUUUUUUAAUUGAAAGCUGGUAUGAAAGGUUGGAUGAGAAAAUAGCUGUCUCUAUUUAAAUUAUUUAGAAUUUUAUCUUUAAGUAAGAAAGCUUAAAUUUUAAUUGAAGACGAGAAGACCCUAUAGAGUUUUAUAAAUUUUAGUUUAAGGAAACUUAAGAAUUAACAAAUUUUUAAAUUAAAAUCUAUUUAGUUGGGGCGAUUGAAAAAUUUAAUAAACUUUUUUUAUUAAUUUAAACAUUAAUUUAUGAUUAGAUGAUCCUUAUUUAAAGAUUAAAAGAAAAAAUUACCUUAGGGAUAACAGCGUAAUUUUUUUAAAGAGUUCAAAUCGAAAAAAAAGAUUGCGACCUCGAUGUUGGAUUAAAAUAAAAUUUUGGUGUAGGAGCUAAAUAAUUUGGGUCUGUUCGACCCUUAAAAUUUUACAUGAUCUGAGUUUAAACCGGUGU
rnacentral:rRNA from 1 species